AUUUGAGUGACGGGUGAGUAUGACUAAUCAUGAUCUGAAUGUCCAAUCACAGCACUCAGGAACCAGACUGAUAGGGGAUUAGACCAUCCUACUUUAACUUAAAAGGGAGAUAAGAAUUAUAUAAAUGUUAAUUUUGAAACUUUAAUCCGUGUAGAAAAUUGCAUAAUUUCUUUGAAGUAAGAAUGGAACGAAUGUGAUUUGUGUGUAAAAACCGGUUUUGAAUGAAUGAGGAAGUUCAUAUAUGUGAUGUCCUUUGUUUCUUGUAGGCCACGUGUUGUAAGGGUAGGUGUGUGUGUCCCUUUAAGAAAUUGUAAGCAAUGGGGGAGGUUACGAACAGCUGUAAGGUAACGAUUAACGCUUUGUAUCCUCGCAACUUAAAAGGGGAAAGUUGGAAAAUGUAGGUUGCUUGGUUUUUCUGAUGUUUCUUUUAUAUUUCUUUUCAGUAAAGUUAAUUUGGAAAAUUGUUACUGGUACUAGGAAUUGGAAAUAAGUUAAUUGCUGAAACAUGACCAGCUUUUAUGGUUUGUUUAGAUAAACAUUCUGGUUGGAGAAGGGUAAUGAUUGUUUGCUGAGAUUUUCAGAAAAAGUUGUGAGGAAGUGGCCCAAGGAAGGAACUUUCAAGAUAAAUGUGUGACAAGAUGGAAGUGUUAAUUAUGAAUUAUAUGCCCACAGAUAAGUUGGAAAGGGAAGGGCAAAAAUGA